rnacentral:rRNA from 1 species
UACGUGGGGGGCAAGCGUUGUUCGGAAUUACUGGGCGUAAAGGGCUCGUAGGUGGCCAACUAAGUCAGACGUGAAAUCCCUCGGCUUAACCGGGGAACUGCGUCUGAUACUGGAUGGCUAGAGAUUGGGAGAGGGAUGCGGAAUUCCAGGUGUAGCGGUGAAAUGCGUAGAUAUCUGGAGGAACACCGGUGGCGAAGGCGGCAUCCUGGACCAACAUUGACGCUGAGGAGCGAAAGCCAGGGGAGCAAACGGG